AUUGAACGCUGGCGGCAGGCCUAACACAUGCAAGUCGAGCGAGCGGCGGACGGGUGAGUAAUGUCUGGGAAACUGCCUGAUGGAGGGGGAUAACUACUGGAAACGGUAGCUAAUACCGCAUACCAUCAGAUGUGCCCCGAUGGGAUUAGCGAGUAGGUGGGGUAACGGCUCACCUAGGCGACGAUACCUAGCUGGUCUGAUAGGAUGAACAGCCAAAAUGGAGCAUGGACACGGUCCAGACUCCUACGGGAGGAAGCAGUGGGGAAUAUUGCACAAUGUGCGCACGACUGCUGCAGCCAUGCAGCGUGUGUGAAGAAGGCCUUCGGGUUGUAAAGCACUGUCAGCGGGGAGGCGUUACCCGCAGAAAAAGCACCGGCUAACUCCGUGCCAGCAGCCGCGGUAAUUC
rnacentral:rRNA from 1 species